UGGCGGAGGGAGUGGAGAUGGCGGCCGUCGGGCCGUGGGUCUGCCUGCCGGGCUGAGGGAGGGAUCGCCGUCGUCUGAGUUCGGCGGCUAAGGCUGACCUCCGUGUUUGUCCAGGGGCCCCUACACAGGCCCUGAAGAGGGAACAUAACAAAGUCCUAGAGAAAGCUGUACUUGGGCGCGGCGGCAGCAGGUCGGUCCGCUCCGCAGGCCUGGCUAGCGACAGGGAUGGGUUUGUGCUAGUCAGAAAGCGGCUGGCGGCAGCUCAGGCCCCCCAGGGUAGGACGGGGCGAGUUGACACACACAGCUAGCAAUUGCAGUCUUUCCUGUGUCCUUCAUCACGCAGGAACUGAUGUUUAUAGAAAAUGUGACCUCACAGAAAGCGAUUAGCUCCUGAAGGCUGGGAGUGCAAUGGGAGAACAAAGGACACAGGGAAAUGCUACUAAGAUAAAUGGAAGCAAAUAGUUUGUCUGAAGGAGCAUUGGAAGGGUAUUUCCACAAUUUUCCAGAAGUUGCUCAAGGCUUUCUGUUAGCAAACAGUUGGAAAAGGGUGACUAACAGUGGCAGAGCUGGCAUUAGAUCACAGAGGAAUGUGUAAUGGUGUCAUGAAUGGACAGAAAUGGCAAAUGGACACCAGAAUGAAAGCUCCAAGGACACUAGCUAGGCAUUAUCUUGAUAAGAUCCUUCAUCUUCUCACCUGAUUAUUCUUUCAGUGACACCAGUAUUCCUUUACGUACUACACAGGAGUUUCUCCAAAUUUACAUUAUUUCAGAGUUUACAGAGGUGUUCAUACAGGAUAGGGAAGAGGAACGAUAAAGGUCCAUGAUUUGUCAUCUUUCUGUGGAUCUGCUCUCCUUUGUAAGUGGGGAACGACCCAUCUCCUCCUCCUUAAGCUACCUUAACAGCACCUGGGGUACGUUCAGGACAGCCACAACACCCUGUAGGAGCUGAUCGGAAGGCACCGCUGCCGCCUCCUGCGUCUUCUCUUCCUGCCACUGGCUUGGCGUUAUCCCUGGGGCUCUGGUGCUGGCAACGCUUGGGGUUUAGACCCCUUUGCUGCUUCCUCUUGCCCUGCAAGUGGUUGAUGUCCUCCCGUCAGUAUUGGCUUUGGAAGGGCCAAGGGCAGCGACUGCCAGGGUGGGACCCAAAUGCUCCUGCCACCAGCCUUGCCUCCGCUUUGCCUCUUGGUGCCCACAGGCUGCUGCCCAGGCAGCAGUAGGGGUGAGGGUGAGGGCAGGUAUUUUGGGGACCUUAAUAGUUUUCAGCAGUGCUCUGUGCCCCCCAUCAUCCAGCAGCAGCAGCUGGUGUGCCAGUGCUCUCCUUUGUGCCCCCUCAGCUCCCACCUUUCCCAUGGCAGCUCACCUGCCCUGCAGCUCAGCCAGGAAGGCAAUGCUGAGCUCUGCCAGUGCAGCCAGCCAGCCUGGAGCCGCCUCGGCCCCGUCCCCAGGGCUGCGGCUCAUGGCGAGACAUGACCACAUCUGCCCAAAGCAGUCACGCAGAUGGAGCUCCAGAGAGUGCCUGCCACUGCGUCUGACUCUGCAGGGCAAACGCUGAAUGAAACACCAGUCAUUUAUUUGAGUGCAGGCUCAGAUUACCACUUUUUUAUUAAUCACAGUAGUGAUAUUAAUACCUGACGAAUCUGCUGUGAAGCAUGAAAAUAAACUGUCUUGGGGGUUUGUAGUAAGCAUUACUAAUAAAGAUUAAUGCUUCUUGGGUGCUUUGGCCAUGCA